AGUGAACGCUGGCGGUAGGCCUAACACAUGCAAGUCGAACGGCAGCACGGUAAGAGCUUGCUCUUACGGGUGGCGAGUGGCGGACGGGUGAGGAAUACAUCGGAAUCUACUUUUUCGUGGGGGAUAACGUAGGGAAACUUACGCUAAUACCGCAUACGACCUACGGGUGAAAGCAGGGGAUCUUCGGACUUUGCGCGAUUGAAUGAGCCGAUGUCGGAUUAGCUAGUUGGCGGGGUAAAGGCCCACCAAGGCGACGAUCCGUAGCUGGUCUGAGAGGAUGAUCAGCCACACUGGAACUGAGACACGGUCCAGACUCCUACGGGAGGCAGCAGUGGGGAAUAUUGGACAAUGGGCGCAAGCCUGAUCCAGCCAUACCGCGUGGGUGAAGAAGGCCUUCGGGUUGUAAAGCCCUUUUGUUGGGAAAGAAAAGCGGCAGGUUAAUACCCCGCUGUUCUGACGGUACCCAAAGAAUAAGCACCGGCUAACUUCGUG
rnacentral:rRNA from 1 species